rnacentral:rRNA from 1 species
UACGUAGGGCGCAAGCGUUGUCCGGAAUUAUUGGGCGUAAAGAGCUCGUAGGCGGCCUGUUGCGUCCGCUGUGAAAUCCCGGGGCUCAACCCCGGGCGUGCAGUGGAUACGGGCAGGCUGGAGGCAGGCAGGGGAGAACGGAAUUCCCGGUGUAGCGGUGAAAUGCGUAGAUAUCAGGAGGAACACCGAUGGCGAAGGCAGGUCUCUGGGCUGACACUGACGCUCAUGCACGAAAGCGUGGGGAGCAAACAGG